rnacentral:rRNA from 1 species
CCGCGAUUCGCCCUUCGGGGUGCCCAGGCGCGAAAACUUUGCAAUACACGAAAGUGUGACAGGGUCAUCCCGAGUGCCGACCGCUGAGGUUGGCUUUUACCCAGUCUAGAAAGCUGGGGGAAUAAGGAGAGGGCAAGUCUGGUGUCAGCCGCCGCGGUAAUACCAGCUCUCCGAGUGGUGUGGACGUUUAUUGGGCCUAAAGCAUCCGUAGCUGGCUGAACAAGUCCCCUGUUAAACCCACCGAUUUAAUCGUUGGUCUGCGGGGGAUACUGCUCGGCUAGGGGACGAGAGAGGCAGACGGUAUUCCCGGGGUAGGGGUGAAAUCCUAUAAUCCCGAGAAGACCACCAGUGGCGAAGGCUGUCUGCUAGAACGCGCCCGACGGUGAGGGAUGAAAGCUGGGGGAGCGAACCGGAUUAGAUACCCGGGUAGUCCCAGCUGUAAACGAUGCAAACUAGGUGUUUGGACGGCCACGUGCCGUUCUAGUGCCGCAGGGAAGCUGUUAAGUCUGCCGCCUGGGGAGUACGAUCGCAAGAUUGAAACUUAAAGGAAUUGGCGGGGGAGCAC